CCUGAAGUUUUUAGAUUUUGGUUUUGUUUUUAUUGAAUAAUGUUUCUCAUGAAAAUUUCAUGAGAACUUAUUUUUUUUUUAUGAUUUCAUUUAUCUUGUUUUCUUUCUAUCACUAACUAUGUUUAUCUUUCGCUUGAUUUUGAAUGAUCACGUUUGAUGUUUUUUCUUAUUUUUGAAUCGAUUUUACUUAUGUUUUGGCUAUUAAAAUAUGUACAAAUCAUGUAUUUUAAAUCCGAAGAACCGAUUUCAUUUAUGUUUUAGUUACAAAAUAGGUACAAAUCAGGUAUUUUUAAACCGAAGAACCGAUUGGAACCCGAACCCGAAAGUACAAUGGGUUAUACCGGUUCUUUGAAGAUUU
rnacentral:lncRNA from 1 species